rnacentral:rRNA from 1 species
UACGUAGGGUGCAAGCGUUGUCCGGAAUUAUUGGGCGUAAAGGGCUCGUAGGCGGUCCAUCGCGUCGGGAGUGAAAAGCUGGGGCUUAACCCCAGUCCUGCUUCCGAUACGGGUGGACUAGAGGUAGGUAGGGGAGAACGGAAUUCCUGGUGUAGCGGUGAAAUGCGCAGAUAUCAGGAGGAACACCGGUGGCGAAGGCGGUUCUCUGGGCCUUAACUGACGCUGAGGAGCGAAAGCAUGGGGAGCAAACAGG